rnacentral:rRNA from 1 species
UACGGAGGGUGCAAGCGUUGCUCGGAAUUAUUGGGCGUAAAGCGCGCGCAGGUGGUUUCUUAAGUCUGAUGUGAAAGCCCACGGCUCAACCGUGGAGGGUCAUUGGAAACUGGGAGACUUGAGUGCAGAAGAGGAAAGUGGAAUUCCAUGUGUAGCGGUGAAAUGCGUAGAUAUCUGGAGGAACACCGGUGGCGAAGGCGGCAUCCUGGACCGGCAUUGACGCUGAGGAGCGAAAGCCAGGGGAGCAAACGGG